AUGGUCAUUUUUUUAUCUGGUAGCUUUACUAUACAAAUGACUGAAUCAUUGAGGAAAUUAGGAUUAGUUGGCCUUUCAAAUGAUGCUCUCGUAGUUGAGCUUGAAACUGAUGUUCUGCUGACAUUCCAGAUGUUCCCAAGGCUGGGAGUUUUUUUUAUAACAGAUGCUGAAGAUACCCGUGCACUUUUUGUAAAACUGUAA